GAUGAACGCUGGCGGCGUGCUUAACACAUGCAAGUCGAACGGUGAAGGCGGAGCUUGCUCUGCUGGAUCAGUGGCGAACGGGUGAGUAACACGUGAGCAAUCUGCCCCUGACUCUGGGAUAAGCGCUGGAAACGGCGUCUAAUACUGGAUACGAGCUGCGAAGGCAUCUUCAGCAGCUGGAAAGAAUUUCGGUCAGGGAUGAGCUCGCGGCCUAUCAGCUUGUCGGUGAGGUAAUGGCUCACCAAGGCGUCGACGGGUAGCCGGCCUGAGAGGGUGACCGGCCACACUGGGACUGAGACACGGCCCAGACUCCUACGGGAGGCAGCAGUGGGGAAUAUUGCACAAUGGGCGAAAGCCUGAUGCAGCAACGCCGCGUGAGGGACGACGGCCUUCGGGUUGUAAACCUCUUUUAGCAGGGAAGAAGCGAAAGUGACGGUACCUGCAGAAAAAGCGCCGGCUAACUACGUG
rnacentral:rRNA from 1 species